rnacentral:lncRNA from 1 species
UGGAUAAGAGGCAGCCAGACAGGCUGCCUUCAGGGGAAGAAGCCAGAGGAGCAGAGGUGCUGAUGACAGAAAGGGGUGGGGACUGACCUGCGAGAUGGUACAAGCAGAGGAGCACGGAGAGAAAGAAGGCUGGGUGCCACGGAAAGCCUCCUUAGAAGAGUUAGUCAGAUGAGUUGAUCUUUCAAAGGCAAGGUUAAGACUUUACGUUUAAUUUCAACUCAGAACAACGUGGCCUCCGCUCGUCCUUCUCU